GAUGAACGCUGGCGGCGUGCCUAAUACAUGCAAGUCGAGCGAACAGAUAAGGAGCUUGCUCCUUUGACGUUAGCGGCGGACGGGUGAGUAACACGUGGGUAACCUACCUAUAAGACUGGGAUAACUUCGGGAAACCGGAGCUAAUACCGGAUAACAUUUGGAACCGCAUGGUUCUAAAGUGAAAGAUGGUUUUGCUAUCACUUAUAGAUGGACCCGCGCCGUAUUAGCUAGUUGGUAAGGUAACGGCUUACCAAGGCAACGAUACGUAGCCGACCUGAGAGGGUGAUCGGCCACACUGGAGCUGAGACACGGUCCAGACUCCUACGGGAGGCAGCAGUAGGGAAUCUUACGCAAUGGGCGAAAGCCUGACGGAGCAACGCCGCGUGAGUGAUGAAGGGUUUCGGCUCGUAAAACUCUGUUAUUAGGGAAGAACAAAUGUGUAAGUAACUGUGCACGUCUUGACGGUACCUAAUCAGAAAGCCACGGCUAACUACGUG
rnacentral:rRNA from 1 species